rnacentral:rRNA from 1 species
AUUGAACGCUGGCGGCAGGCCUAACACAUGCAAGUCGAGCGGAUGAAGGGAGCUUGCUCCUGGAUUCAGCGGCGGACGGGUGAGUAAUGCCUAGGAAUCUGCCUGGUAGUGGGGGAUAACGUCCGGAAACGGGCGCUAAUACCGCAUACGUCCUGAGGGAGAAAGUGGGGGAUCUUCGGACCUCACGCUAUCAGAUGAGCCUAGGUCGGAUUAGCUAGUUGGUGGGGUAAAGGCCUACCAAGGCGACGAUCCGUAACUGGUCUGAGAGGAUGAUCAGUCACACUGGAACUGAGACACGGUCCAGACUCCUAAGGGAGGGAGCAGUGGGGAAUAUUGGACAAUGGGCGAAAGCCUGAUCCAGCCAUGGCGCGUGUGUGAAGAAGGUCUUCGGAUUGUAAAGCACUUUAAGUUGGGAGGAAGGGCAGUAAGUUAAUACCUUGCUGUUUUGACGUUACCAACAGAAUAAGCACCGGCUAACUUCGUG